AUGAAAUUAUUCUUACUUUUUCAAAAGUACUGUGCAACCCUUAAUAAGCCUGAGGAAGCUCUUUACCCCUGGAGAACGACCCUGCAGAACCACAAUGCCUGGGGCAUCACUGAUGUGGAGGGGAAGAUGCCUUUUAAGCCUCUUAUUAAGACAUCAGUCCUACUCUUGGCAGGUCACAAGCAAGAGCACCAGUAUCUCAACUGGAAAUCCAGAUGCCAAAGGUACCUACCUAGGAUGGAUGAAGAGUGCUUCUGGACACAGCACGGUGUUUGAACCAACACUGUAGGUUGGGACCUGUCCUCAGUGCCUGGAAGCUGGCAGACUGUGGGCCACAGCUCUGCCACUGUGUCAUCCACAUGUCACUCUGUGUCCUGGUCGUGGGACCGACCUCAGGAAAGAACAGGUGCUGAAAAGAUCCCACUACUUGCUCAUAGUCAGCAAUAUGCUGAACUCAGCACAUGGGGUCAAAGCUGGCAUGACUUUCCACGUAAUUCUUUUAAUUCCUUGGAGAUUUGCAAAGCUUUGUGAAAAACACUGUGUUUUGACAGUGGCCAUCUGUUAUGAGCACAUAAGACUGCUUGUGCUGGUGAUUAGCAGGUCAGCUGCUAGGUGGUGUUUCUCAUCCCAUCAGAGACGGGAUUGAUCUCUACAAAGAGUUCAUAGCAUUGCAUAGCACAGCACAGCAUAGCAUAGAGCAGAAUAGAACAGAGCAGUUCACUUGGAAGGGACCUUCAAAGAUCAUCAGGUCCAACUGCCUGACCAUUUCAGGGCUAACCAAAAUUUAAAGCAUGUUAAGGAGGGUGUUAUGCAAAUGCCUCUUGAACACUGACUGGCAUGAGACAUCAACCACCUCACUAGGAAGCCUGCCCCAGUGUUUGACCACCCUCGCGGCACUGAAGUGCUUCCUACUGCCCAGCCUGACUCUCCCCUGAUAGCUCCGCACCAUUCUCAUUCUGCCAUCGGUUCCCAGGAGGAGAGCCUGGCACAUCCCUUUGCUUCCCCUCCUCAGGAGCUGCAGAAAGAAGGUCACCUCUUGGCCUCCUCUUCUGCAGGCUGGGCAGCCCAAGUGCCCUCAGCCUCUCCUCAUAAGAAGCAAAAGUUCCUCUCAGAUCGCAUCCAGAUGUUCAUUGCA
rnacentral:lncRNA from 1 species